rnacentral:rRNA from 1 species
UCGAGCGAACGGAUGAAAGUGCUUGUCUUCUGACGUUAGCGGCGAGCGCCGUGAGUAACACGUAAGGAAUCUACCUAUAAGGGGGGGAUAACAUUCGGAAACGGGUGCUAAUACCGCAUAAUAUCUUCUUCCGCAUGGAAGAAGAUUGAAAGACGGCUCUGCUGUCACUUAUAGAUGACCUUGCGGUGCAUUAGUUAGUUGGUGGGGUAACGGCCUACCAAGACGAUGAUGCAUAGCCGACCUGAGAGGGUGAUCGGCCACAUUGGGACUGAGACACGGCCCAAACUCCUACGGGAGGCAGCAGUAGGGAAUCUUCCGCAAUGGGCGAAAGCCUGACGGAGCAAUGCCGCGUGAGUGAAUAAGGCCUUCGGGUCGUAAAACUCUGUUAUAAGAGAAGAACAAAUUGUAGAGUAACUGCUACAGUCUUGACGGUAUCUUAUCAGAAAGCCACGGCUAACUACGUGCCAGCAGCCGCGGUAAUACGUAGGUGGCAAGCGUUGUCCGGAUUUAUUGGGCGUAAAGGGAGCGCAGGUGGUUUCUUAAGUCUGAUGUGAAAGCCCACGGCUUAACCGUGGAGGGUCAUUGGAAACUGGGAAACUUGAGUACAGAAGAGGAAUGUGGAACUCCAUGUGUAGCGGUGGAAUGCGUAGAUAUAUGGAAGAACACCAGUGGCGAAGGCGACAUUCUGGUCUGUUACUGACACUGAGGCUCGAAAGCGUGGGGAGCAAACAGGAUUAGAU